rnacentral:rRNA from 1 species
ACUUUAGAUAUGAUCCAGAGUACCACGGGACACGUGAAACCCUGUGGGAAGCAGGAGGGACCACCCUCCAAGGCUAAAUACUACCUAGUGACCGAUAGCGUAUAGUACCGUGAGGGAAAGGUGAAAAGAACCCCGGGAGGGGAGUGAAAUAGAACCUGAAACCCUGCACUUACAAGCUGUGGAAGCACAUUUCUUGUGUGACCGCGUACUUUUUGUAG